UACGGAGGGGGCUAGCGUUGUUCGGAAUUACUGGGCGUAAAGCGCACGUAGGCGGCUUUGUAAGUUAGAGGUGAAAGCCCAGGGCUCAACCCUGGAAUUGCCUUUAAGACUGCAUCGCUUGAAUCAUGGAGAGGUGAGUGGAAUUCCGAGUGUAGAGGUGAAAUUCGUAGAUAUUCGGAAGAACACCAGUGGCGAAGGCGACUCACUGGACAUGUAUUGACGCUGAGGUACGAAAGCGUGGGGAGCAAACAGG
rnacentral:rRNA from 1 species